rnacentral:rRNA from 1 species
GUGACCAUGUUCAACGGCCGCGGUAUCCUAACCGUGCGAAGGUAGCGUAAUCACUUGUCCUUUAAAUGAGGACUAGUAUGAAUGGCAUCACGAAGGUUAUACUGUCUCCUUUCUCUAAUCAGUGAAACUAAUCUUCCCGUGAAGAAGCGGGAAUCCACAUAUAAGACGAGAAGACCCUAUGGAGCUUUAAACGAAAUAACAUCUACCACCACUAAUAUUAACUUCAGAAGAUUAACUACCUUGGUAUUUUGUCUAUUAGUUUUUGGUUGGGGUGACCGCGGAGCAAAAAACAACCUCCGCAUUGAACGGAACUAACCCUUAGCAAAAAGCCACAACUUUAUGUAUCAGCACACUGACAUUAAUUGACCCAAUAAUUUGAUCAACGAACCAAGUUACCCUAGGGAUAACAGCGCAAUCCAUUUCAAGAGCCCCUAUCGACAAAUGGGUUUACGACCUCGAUGUUGGAUCAGGGUCUCCCAGUGGUGCAGCCGCUACUAAAGGUUCGUUUGUUCAACGAUUAAAA